rnacentral:rRNA from 1 species
AUGUGGCUCUCGGUGGAGAAGCAGUUGCCCUUGUCAGGGUGGAUCGUCUUCAUCACGGUGUCGUCAGGGACGUGGCUGAGGUCCUUCUUGGCGAUCUCGACAAAGUUGAGGAUGCUGAACUCUGCAUCGCCCAUGCUGUCAUCCUUGGUGAAAGUAUCAUGGUCAAAGACUUCCUGUAAAAGUAAUAAUGAAAGUAAAACCCCAAAGGUUGGUUUCAGGAACAGGAGAUCGACUGGAGAUGUUCAUCAGAGUAGAGUGUAUUGGGAUGGAGAUGUUGAUCGAACUUACAAUCUUAACGGGGAGCGUCCAGUUAGUGAUGGACAGGGUGAGCUCCUCGUUCCAUUCCGGCUUGGUGGAUUUAUAUUUGAUACCGGACUUCACUUUCUGCACAUGAUUACAUCUCGGUUUUAG